rnacentral:rRNA from 1 species
AUUGAACGCUGGCGGCAUGCCUAACACAUGCAAGUCGAACGGGGCAGCAAUGCCUAGUGGCGGACGGGUGAGGAAUACGUAGGAAUCUGCCCUUAAGUGGGGGAUAACCAGGGGAAACCCUGACUAAUACCGCAUGAUCUCUUCGGAGCAAAGAGGGGGACCGCAAGGCCUCUCGCUUCUGGAUGAGCCUACGUCUGAUUAGCUAGUUGGUAGGGUAAAGGCCUACCAAGGCGACGAUCAGUAACUGGUCUGAGAGGAUGAUCAGUCACACCGGAACUGAGACACGGGCCGGACUCCUACGGGAGGCAGCAGUGGGGAAUAUUGGACAAUGGGCGCAAGCCUGAUCCAGCAAUGCCGCGUGUGUGAAGAAGGCCUUCGGGUUGUAAAGCACUUUAGCCUGGAAAGAAAAAACUUUGGUUAACACCCAAAGUCUGGACGGUACCAGGAGAAUAAGCACCGGCUAACUCUGUGCCAGCCGCCGCCGUAAGAC